AUUGAACGCUGGCGGCAUGCCUUACACAUGCAAGUCGAACGGUAACGCGGGGCAACCUGGCGACGAGUGGCGAACGGGUGAGUAAUGCAUCGGAACGUGCCCAGUAGUGGGGGAUAGCCCGGCGAAAGCCGGAUUAAUACCGCAUACGACCUACGGGUGAAAGCGGGGGAUCGCAAGACCUCGCGCUAUUGGAGCGGCCGAUGUCAGAUUAGGUAGUUGGUGAGGUAAAGGCUCAACAAGCCUUCGAUCUGUAGCUGGUCUGAGAGGACGACCAGCCACACUGGGACUGAGACACGGCCCAGACUCCUACGGGAGGCAGCAGUGGGGAAUUUUGGACAAUGGGCGCAAGCCUGAUCCAGCCAUGCCGCGUGCGGGAAGAAGGCCUUCGGGUUGUAAACCGCUUUUGUCAGGAAGAAAGCCCCGGGCUAAUACCUUGGGGUAAUGACGGUACCUGAAGAAUAAGCACCGGCUAACUACGUGCCAGCAGCCGCGGUAAU
rnacentral:rRNA from 1 species